GACGAACGCUGGCGGCGUGCUUAACACAUGCAAGUCGAACGGAAAGGCCCUGCUUGCAGGGUACUCGAGUGGCGAACGGGUGAGUAACACGUGGGUGAUCUGCCCUGCACUUCGGGAUAAGCCUGGGAAACUGGGUCUAAUACCGGAUAGGAGCCAUUUUUAGUGUGAUGGUUGGAAAGUUUUUUCGGUGUAGGAUGAGCUCGCGGCCUAUCAGCUUGUUGGUGGGGUAAUGGCCUACCAAGGCGGCGACGGGUAGCCGGCCUGAGAGGGUGGACGGCCACAUUGGGACUGAGAUACGGCCCGGACUCCUACGGGAGGCAGCAGUGGGGAAUAUUGCACAAUGGGCGCAAGCCUGAUGCAGCGACGCCGCGUGGGGGAUGACGGCCUUCGGGUUGUAAACUCCUUUCGCUAGGGACGAAGCUUUUUGUGACGGUACCUAGAGAAGAAGCACCGGCUAACUACGUG
rnacentral:rRNA from 1 species